GGACAAUGAACUUAGAUCAUU
rnacentral:rRNA from 1 species